AUCUAAAUGAAUAUAAUCUAAAUGAAUAUAAUCUGUAGUUGUUCUUGUUCAUGUUUCGGACACAGGGAGGUCAGUACAGUAGAGUUGUGCUGUUUGACCUUUGACCCCUCUGAUCUGAUGGUCAUAUUUAUCAUGGCGUCCUGUCAGUCAGCUUCAUGAAAACAUGCUGCUCCUCCUCUCAUGUGAGGACCCAGCAGAAGCAGCCUGUGUCCCAUUUGGGGUCCUGCUCCUCAGUUUGAGAAACCAGGCAGUAAUGUUCCUCUAUCAGCUGUGUGUUGUUGGUUUGUUGUGAUGAACAGGUUUGUUUUUCUAAAAGGAGAGUUCACAUGUGGGCAGCUCAGUAGAGUUCUUGUGAUGUAAUCUAGUGGAGAUCAAGUGUUAAUAAUGUCUGUAGAUUAUUAUGGGAUGGACAGAAACACUGAAUCAGAGCAGUACAGCAGCAUCCAGGAGUCUGAGUCUCUGAGAUGUUUCUGUUGAGUCUGACUGUUUGUUUCAGACGAGGAAAGACUUCAUCCAACAGAUUCAACCAUGAACACACACUCCUGACUCUGUGUGUGUGUGUGUGAGUGUGUGUGUGUGUGUGUGUGUGUGUGUGUGUGUGUGUGUGUGUGUGUGUUUAAUGUGUGUGUGUGUGUGUGUGUGUGUGUGUGUGUGUGUGUGUGUGUGUGUGUGUGUGUGUGUGUGUGUGUGUGGUAACAUCUGUUCACUAAAAUACAGGAUCAAAUUAUAAAUAAUCUUUUUUCAGUAUAAAUUGAAUCAUAAACAAACCUCCAGUUUGGUUGAAGCGUCGCUUUAAAGUGUCAAGGUUGCCUUUGAAGAGCUGCUGGUGAAACACAGCUCUCUCAGUCUGCCACUCCCAGUAGUCAGCUUUGUCUUCUGUGACUCUGUUCAUCCAGUCCUGUUUGGGUUCUGUUCUCUUGGUGUUACUGUCGUAGUAUUCUGUCUGAAUAUCAUCAACCAUCCC